rnacentral:miRNA from 1 species
UUCCACCAGACACUUGUUCUC